CGGCCCCUCCGCCCGCGGCCACGCGAGUGGCGUCGCCCGCGUCCCACUGAGGGGCGCUGUCCGCGUUACCUGAGCUCGCGCGAGGAGAAGAACCUUACGGUGACACAGUGCAAGGCACAGUGACGGUUCUCAUCGAGUGUCACCGGGGCUCGCAGUGGGCACAGGGCGCCGCGAGGUGGAGACGACGUCCUUCCGCGGCCGCGGGGGCCUGGGGCGGGCCGGGGUCGGAGCAGGGGUGGAGACCGCGCCGCGGGGACGGCUGGCGGGCCUGGGCGCUGGCUUCGGAGGGAGUGAAUGGCCCGGCCGGGCUCAGCGCCCGCCCCGCCGAGGGCUCCCCCCGCCUCCGGCCCCGCCGUCCUGGCCGCCUUCAGGGCGCUGCUGCCCGCGCAGGAAUCCCCGAACUCCAGGAACUCAGCAGAGCCUGGGAAGCGCCGCACGCCGGGCUCCGCCUCCUCCAGCCCAACUCCGUGGACUCCUCUCGGGCCCCUGUCUGCCUGGGGAGCACCCAGUCCCCACAGCCCCCCCACAUCAUCCUCACCCCCAUAGUCGCCGCAGCUCUCCACGCCAUAGAGAAGGCCUAGAAGCAUCUUGGAUCCUCUCGACACACAACUAUUUAUGGAAGCAGAUCCACCCUGCAGUUGCUGCUAUCUGGGGAAGUUCCUGAGCAAUAAAUGGCUCUGAGAAGGCAGAACAGUGGCUGCCCUGGGAAAAUACUCCAACCAAGAAUGGGCUCCAAGUGUCUCGGUACCAAAAAGACUUUUGUUUGAAAAUGUGUGCUUGUUUUUAUGAGUGUUCAGUACGUGCCUGGGUGCAUUCAUUUCACGCCUCCCUCCCCCCAGUCUAUAAUACAGAAAACAAAUAUUCAUCAGGAAAUGCCAGCUGGUGUCGGGGUAGCUUCAGGAAAAACGAUGUCUGAUAAACUGCAAUGCCUGUAUUUGUUAGUAAUACUUUACAUUAGGCCGGGCGCGGUGGCUCAAGCCUGUAAUCCCAGCACUUUGGGAGGCCGCAGCGGGUGGAUCACGAGGUCAAGAGAUUGAGACCAUCCUAUCCUGGUCGACAUGGUGAAACCCCAUCUCUACUAAAAAUACAAAAAAUUAACUGGGCACGGUGGCGCGUGCCUGUAGUCCCAGCUACUCAGGAGGCUGAGGCCAGAGAAUUGCCUGAACCCGGGAGGCGGAGGUUGUGGUGAGCCAAGAUCACGCCACUGCACUCCAGCCUGGUGCCUGGCAAGAGCGAGACUGUCUCCAAAAAAAAAAAAAAAAAAGUUUGAGAUCAGCCUUGCCAACAUGGUAAAACCCCGUCUCUACUAAAAAUACAAAAAUUAGCUGGGUGUGGUGGCAGACAUCUGUAGUCCUAGCUACUCAGGAAGCUGAGGCAUGAGAAUUGCUUGAACCUGGGAGGCAGAGGUUGCAGUGAACUGAGAUCAUGCCACUGCACUCUAGCCUGGGUGACAAGUGGGCUACAGAGUAAGAGACUCCACCUCAAAAAGCAAAACAAAAUGGGCAAUCAUAUAGGAAGAGUGUACAGCCCAGAUGCAGCGCUAGUCUACCCCUGGGUGAGGCUGAGAUGUUGCUACACCAGCUCAUUUUCAAAUGAGCUUGCACUGCGGUCCCUCCUUUCCACAUGCUGUGGCUAGCACAGGGUUCGGGCCAGACCCCCACCCCAGCAGCCACCUCCUCCAACAGCUGCAGGCUUCCCAUUGCCUCUGAUGAGGACAUAACCUACCCUGGGGGCAGCCAGGGGCAGUUAGUGUUCACUGGGGACUUAAAUGGGCUCUGCUACCAACACCUGCCUUCCUACUCCCCAGGGCCCCGGGACCUGUCCCCCAGCACAGCAUGCUUUGGGGUCAGUGCCUAUGGUAAGUUGAAGGAAUUUUGGUAGCUAGAACAGGGGUGUUUUCUACACUGUAUGCUGAAGGGCGAGGCGAGCAGGGUAUACGGGGUUCAAAGAAGUGGUGGCUUUGAUCCAGGAAAAGGAAGGCCAGGUGUUUCUGUGGGACUCUGAGGGAAAGGUGCUGUGCCCUUUGAGGGAAUCUGUCAUCACCACAUCCCUUUCUCCUCCAUGCUCUUUGGGAUGUACGGAAGGGUGGAAUGUGAUGAGCUGAAAUAGCGUCUCAUAGGCAGGAGGGGAAGCCAGAAGUGGCAUGCACUCUCUUCAAGAGCUCUUCUGCAAAGCCUUCCUUCCAGAAUAGGACCCGCUAAGUUCCAUGCGAGCUUCAGUUCCUUCCCCUCAGAGCCUCUGUAAGACAUGCCCUUUAAAACUAGCUCCAGCAAAUAAAAGAAUGAAUCAUAAAUUUUAUUUCAAAAUGUAAACGUCACUAAACAUGCAUACACGUUAAAACAAUAAAAUUUACAAUUUCGUUAAUUUUUCUUUUUGCAUAGGACAUCAUUACAAUAUAGAAUCUAUGCCAUACAAAAUACAUACAAAGUUUAAUCCGAGCAAGCCAAGGCCAGACUGGGAACUAUACAACUGUAAUACUUCACUGUAGUGAUCCAGAAAAGAUGAAACAUGGCCUUCGGAAUUACGGUGGGUGCUGGUUAAAAAAAAAAGUUCCUACAGAAAAGAAAAACAUGAGCUCCAUGGAAAUGGUCUUGGACCCUUGGAUUCUGCCUUGGGCUUUUGGCAAAUGAUUCCAGAGAAGCUCCACCAAUGGCUUUGGAUGGGAAGGGGUUGCCUGUGCAGGCCUGGGGCAGCUGAGACUCAGAAGCAUGCACCCAACACGUGCACACAAGCAAUUCCUAGUCACCAGGGAACCACCACAAGCCCCAAACCCGACAAUGACAAUGCAUAGUUGCUCAGGAGAGCCUCCCUCCUGCUGAGGCUGACCAGCCCGAGGCCCAGCACUCGGCACCAGGGUCCCCUCGGGGUGAGGCCAGGGAGCAAAGUCUCCCACUCACACACCCAGAGGCAGGCACCUGGACCUGGCAUGAUGAGCCCACAUGGUGUCUAGAGCCACAUGGGAGGUGGCCCCUCACUCCUCUCAAGGUAGCCAGGUACAGUGGCUCCUGCACCGAGUGUAGCCUCGGUCAUUCAGCUCACACACCUGCUUUCCAAAUGAGCACACAAUGUGGCCUGUCCAUGGGCCCUCUAGGAAGAGGCCAGGGAGCAAGGACCCUGAGGCCUGGAAGAAAGCAGUUCCCUUGCCACCCCACCCCGGAAUGUGUGACUUGUAGGGUUGGGGACGCUACUUCUCUCCCAUCCAGUUCCUUUUUAAAUGAAAGUAGUAAAGUUUUUAAAGCUGUAUGAGAAAGAGAGAGGCAGGGCAGAGCCAGGCAGCCGCACUGCAAGUCCAAAAUCUUCAUGGGGGUGAGUAGAAACCAAGCGCGGCUCCUCUUCCCUCGUGGACUGGGCUCCUGUCUCCUGCCGAAUUCAACUCUUCUGAUGCUGAGGGAAAGAACAGCAGGCGGGAGGUGGCGCCUCGCCCUAAAGGGUGCUCAGGCGUGUCAGUAGUAAGCUGGACUGUGCAUCCACGUUCUGGUACAAAGGUCUCUGGAAUGUGUCUCAGACAAGCCGUCAGAGCCUCCGAAUCAGGAAAAUUAGUCAUAGGACCUGGUUCUCCCUGGGUUAAUCCUGAUUUCAAGAACCAUCAGCCUACACCUCAGAUUUUAGCUUUGGAAAAUAUGGUGACCAGAAUUGUAUACGGAAACAGCAAAAGAUGUAGAUAACCUCCAAAGCAGUUCUUACUGGUUGUGAUAUGAUCAACACAUCACAUACCCUUUAAACCUUCUACACUGAGUCUUUGACUAAAUGACCUUUUUUAAGUGGGGGAAAAAAAUCAGUGAUAUCUGUCAGAAGUCAAAAUGGUCAGGUAGCCCUGCAAACACAGGCACACCAGUAGCAGAUAAACAAGGCCACACUAUUGCUCAGAUCACAUCUUCCUGUUGGGGGGGCACUCCUGCCCGGCUGAGAUCCUGAAUGGGUCCCUAGGGAGCACCAGAAUCCUGUGCAGUCCAUCUUAGCACCUGCUUCUGGCAAGAAAGAGGCUGGUUUUCUGGACACACCAUGCAGGGAGACAGAAAACUUGAGGCCAAGUCUUGAGGCAGAGUGGCCAGCCCUCGCUGCCCAUCCCCACCUUUGAAUGACCCCUCACUGGUCUGAGCUGUGCUCUGGGUACAGCAGGGACUGGGGUCGCCAUGCCUCAGAUCUUUGUACCUGGAGGCUGCACCAUGGUGAAUCCUGCACCUGCCUCGGUGUGGGGUCUGGGAAACAAGGCAGGGUUGGGGGUGAGGGGAUCUUGCACUCGAGUCGUGGGUGGCAGUGCAGCAGAAUGCAGGUAGGGCUCCUCCAGGACCAUGUUCCCAUCCAGGACAUCUCUGCAUGUUCCUACGUAGCGCCCUGCAGGACAGGACCCCAGGGCUCUUUGAGGAAAGGGCUGUGUCCGUCUGUUUUCCUGUAUGGCUGUAGAAUUCAGUAGGCCUUUGGGGAGCUGAUAACCAUUCCCCUAAUAUGGCUGAUGUAAAGCGGGGCUUUCUUAUCUGGGACAUGAGCAAUACCAGCCCCCAAUGGCUGAGCCUGAAGUCAAUUUAGGCCUUUUAUAGGGGAACUCUCCCUUCACUCAGGCAACCUUCAUUUUGAGAUCUCUGUCCCUAUGGACCACCAGAACUGAAGUCCCAAAAUAAGGGUUUGAGUUUUUCAGUAUUAUCUCUAUGAGUCCUUAACCCCAUCAAAACUGGCAAGCAUGGCCAUAAACCACAAAAAUGGAAGACGCUGAAAUAGACGCAGGCUGGGAAGAAAACAUUCUGCAUGUUUGGAGAAAAUGAAGGCUGUUUCAGGAGGGCUGCCCUGUGUGCCUGCUUCAGUGGAGGCAGUGUUCCAAUGCCCACCACCCUCUUCUACGGGCAUCCCUCACUUCAUGAUGAGAUGGAAAUCUGCCCAUGAGGACCCCGGUGAACUGCUCCUGAGAUUCAUGGAAUUCUCCCUGCCCUUCAGGUGAGAUGAGUUUAAGCUCCAGAUGAUUCGGGAGGGCCUGGCCAGGAGGACCCCUCGGCAUUUCUCUCCUGGUGCCCUCCCACCAUUUCCCAGUCCAGGCCGGGGCCGAAGGACUGCACCCUGCCAUUACACGAGAACCACUUUGGGAAUGAAGACACACUCUUACGCCAAAAAUAGCCAACGCCUGCAUAUUUCUGUUUUAAGGCAAUGUUACCCUUCCAUCUAUCAGACGGAACAGCCCUGGGUCAUUUAAAGGAAAAAUUAAAUUAAGUGCUCUCUUUGGAAACAGCCAACACCCACUUCCCUCCCCCACCCCCCACCCUGCUCUAAAACAAACCAGCUCUUCUUUUUAUUCCAAGAUGACUAGGUUUAGAGUCCUAUCUUUUCCUUCCUAUGUGCAGACAGAUGUGAAGCUAGAAAAUCUCCUGCCAUGACACCCUGGGCAGAUCACAAGGACGACUGGCCCCUCCCUGGAGAGCACUUCGCCGGCCUCCCAGGGAUGGGCUGCUCCCUCUCCCUGCCUUUGGGAACGGUGGAUGGUGAGUGCACCAAAGGACUUUGGAAUAAAAUUCCUGAACCUGGAAUGUGAAUUCCUGAGACAUGAAAUGUAUUCAGAGUGUGGCUUUCUCUGCCUCACACGAAAACAACUUUGGGAGGGACCUCACUUUGGAACUGGGCAUGAAGAUCUUUGCACCCCAAGCACCCAGGGCUCUCUUCUGUCAAGGUCCCUACUGAAUAUUCCACUCUGUCUUCCAGACCCGAUGCAAGCAGGGCUGUCAGGGAGCCCAAACACAGCACGGCAGCCAGAGUGGCCAGCUCUGUAUCCAACCAGAGUGGGGGUGGCCCUCUCCCCACCAGUUCCCACCGCAGCAGGAGUAAUGCUACCGCCCAAUUUAGGGUCCAUCGUGCUACCUGGAAGCUACUGCCAUGCUGUGGGCCAACCCCAGCUGACACAGUAGUGAGAAACAGGCACCUGAUGCCAUACCGUGCCUGCGCAGCUGCUGUGACAGAGGGCACUCGUCCACUCUGGAGCCAGCCCAAACAGUGGCCAGCGGCUGGGCUUGGGUCCCAGGUUUGUGCUGCACCCCACACUGUGGUGGGGCCGGGUAGAAGCAGGAUGGCCACAACCAAGGCACACUGGGCCCAGGAAGCCCACCUGUGGCCCCCUGAGGCCCCAGGGCCAUUCCUUUGCAUCAAAAUGGGUAUCUCUGGCAAGAUACCGAGUCCACCCCAACCCCCCACCCCCAA